UACGGGGGGGGCAAGCGUUGUUCGGAAUUACUGGGCGUAAAGGGCUCGUAGGUGGCCAACUAAGUCAGACGUGAAAUCCCUCGGCUUAACCGGGGAACUGCGUCUGAUACUGGAUGGCUUGAGAGUGGGAGAGGGAUGCGGAAUUCCAGGUGUAGCGGUGAAAUGCGUAGAUAUCUGGAGGAACACCGGUGGCGAAGGCGGCAUCCUGGACCAACACUGACGCUGAGGAGCGAAAGCCAGGGGAGCAAACGGG
rnacentral:rRNA from 1 species